UGGUGGGUUGCCUUGUCAGGUUGAUUCCGGUAACGAACGAGACCUCAGCCUGCUAAAUAGUCACGGCUGCCCCGGCAGCCGGCCGACUUCUUAGAGGGACUAUUGGCGACUAGCCAAUGGAAGCAUGAGGCAAUAACA
rnacentral:rRNA from 1 species